rnacentral:rRNA from 1 species
UACGUAGGGUGCAAGCGUUAAUCGGAAUUACUGGGCGUAAAGGGUGCGCAGGCGGCCCCGCGUGUCAGGCGUGAAAUCCCCGAGCUCAACUUGGGAAUGGCGCUUGAAACUACGGGGCUGGAGUGUGGCAGAGGGAGGUGGAAUUCCACGUGUAGCGGUGAAAUGCGUAGAUAUGUGGAGGAACACCGAUGGCGAAGGCAGCCUCCUGGGCCAACACUGACGCUCAUGCACGAAAGCGUGGGGAGCAAACAGG